rnacentral:rRNA from 1 species
GACGAACCGUGCAAACGUUGUUCGGAAUCACUGGGCUUAAAGGGCGCGUAGGCGGGUCUCCAAGUCGGUGGUGAAAUCGUUCGGCCCAACCGGACAAGUGCCGCCGAUACUGGGGGUCUUGAGGGAGGUAGGGGUCGAGGGAACUGGUGGUGGAGCGGUGAAAUGCGUAGAUAUCACUAGGAACGCCGGUGGCGAAAGCGCUCGACUGGACCUCUUCUGACGCUGAGGCGCGAAAGCCAGGGGAGCAAACGGG